CGAUGAAGCGGGAGGUUGCCGAAUGUAAUUCGGGUUUUUCCGUGGAGAAUGUCCGAUUCAUGAAACCGGGCGACA
rnacentral:ncRNA from 1 species